rnacentral:rRNA from 1 species
AGAGUUUGAUCCUGGCUCAGGACGAACGCUGGCGGCGUGCCUAAUACAUGCAAGUCGAACGAAGCUUUCUUUCACCGAAUGCUUGCAUUCACCGAAAGAAGCUUAGUGGCGAACGGGUGAGUAACACGUAGGCAACCUGCCCAAAAGAGGGGGAUAACACUUGGAAACAGGUGCUAAUACCGCAUAACCAUGAACACCGCAUGAUGUUCGUGUAAAAGACGGCUUUUGCUGUCACUUUUGGAUGGGCCUGCGGCGUAUUAACUUGUUGGUGGGGUAACGGCCUACCAAGGUGAUGAUACGUAGCCGAACUGAGAGGUUGAUCGGCCACAUUGGGACUGAGACACGGCCCAAACUCCUACGGGAGGCAGCAGUAGGGAAUCUUCCACAAUGGACGAAAGUCUGAUGGAGCAACGCCGCGUGAAUGAAGAAGGCCUUCGGGUCGUAAAAUUCUGUUGUCAGAGAAGAAUGUGCGUGAGAGUAACUGUUCACGUAUUGACGGUAUCUGACCAGAGAGCCACGGCUAACUACGUGCCAGCAGCCGCGGUAAUACGUAGGUGGCAAGCGUUGUCCGGAUUUAUUGGGCGUAAAGGGAACGCAGGCGGUCUUUUAAGUCUGGUGUGAAAGCCUUCGGCUUAACCGAAGUAGUGCAUUGGAAACUGGAAGACUUGAGUGCAGAAGAGGAGAGUGGAACUCCAUGUGUAGCGGUGAAAUGCGUAGAUAUAUGGAAGAACACCAGUGGCGAAAGCGGCUCUCUGGUCUGUAACUGACGCUGAGGUUCGAAAGCGUGGGUAGCAAACAGGAUUAGAUACCCUGGUAGUCCACGCCGUAAACGAUGAGUGCUAAGUGUUGGAGGGUUUCCGCCCUUCAGUGCUGCAGCUAACGCAUUAAGCACUCCGCCUGGGGAGUACGGUCGCAAGACUGAAACUCAAAGGAAUUGACGGGGGCCCGCACAAGCGGUGGAGCAUGUGGUUUAAUUCGAGGCAACGCGAAGAACCUUACCAGGUCUUGACAUCUUCUGACAAUUCCAGAGAUGGAACGUUCCCUUCGGGGACAGAAUGACAGGUGGUGCAUGGUUGUCGUCAGCUCGUGUCGUGGGAUGUUGGGUUAAGUCCCGCAACGAGCGCAACCCUUAUUGUCAGUUGCCAUCAUUAAGUUGGGCACUCUGGCGAGACUGCCGGUGACAAACCGGAGGAAGGUGGGGAUGACGUCAAAUCAUCAUGCCCCUUAUGACCUGGGCUACACACGUGCUACAAUGGACGGUACAACGAGUCGCUAACUCGCGAGGGCAAGCUAAUCUCUUAAAGCCGUUCUCAGUUCGGAUUGCAGGCUGCAACUCGCCUGCAUGAAGUCGGAAUCGCUAGUAAUCGCGAAUCAGCAUGUCGCGGUGAAUACGUUCCCGGGCCUUGUACACACCGCCCGUCACACCAUGAGAGUUUGUAACACCCAAAGUCGGUGGGGUAACCUUUUGGAGCCAGCCGCCUAAGGUGGGACAGAUGAUUGGGGUGAAGUCGUAACAAGGUA